AACCAGGAAAAACAUCAGAAUUGAUUCUCAUAGAGGCCAAUACCAGCAAAUGACUUUAACUCCUCUUAAAGUAACUUUGAGUUGCUUGACCAGAUUUUCUGGAGACCAACGCACAACCAUUAUGGCCAAGAUCAACCCUAGCUGUAAUGGUAAUGCCUACACUGGACUGGAAGAGGAGAUCCUUCAGACCAAUUAAUCACAUCACUUCCAGAAUUGCUCAUUUGAGGGUUUCUAUUGUAUGAUGCCUGCUACAUUUCUACUCCCAAGACAUUUGCCUAUCGCCUGCCAUGAUAGGAAAUCAAAACUGUAUUUAUAAUUUGCAAUAUGCUUGGGGGCUUCUGUGGAUCAAAGGGACAUUGGAAAUGGAAAGUAUUUCAUAAUUUUAACUGAACAGCUUAGCUUCAGAGCUG
rnacentral:lncRNA from 1 species